UACGAAGGGUGCAAGCGUUAAUCGGAAUGACUGGGCGUAAAGGGUGUGUAGGCGGUUUUUUAAGUCUGUCGUGAAAUCCCCGGGCUCAACCUGGGAAUGGCGAUGGAUACUGGGCAGCUAGAGUGUGUCAGAGGAUGGUGGAAUUCCCGGUGUAGCGGUGAAAUGCGUAGAGAUCGGGAGGAACAUCAGUGGCGAAGGCGGCCAUCUGGGACAACACUGACGCUGAAGCACGAAAGCGUGGGGAGCAAACAGG
rnacentral:rRNA from 1 species